AUUGGACGCUGGCGGCAGGCUUAACACAUGCAAGUCGAACGAUGACUCUCUAGCUUGCUAGAGAAGAUUAGUGGCGGACGGGUGAGUAACAUUUAGGAAUCUGCCUAGUAGUGGGGGAUAGCUCGGGGAAACUCGAAUUAAUACCGCAUACGACCUACGGGUGAAAGGGGGCGCAAGCUCUUGCUAUUAGAUGAGCCUAAAUCAGAUUAGCUAGUUGGUGGGGUAAAGGCCUACCAAGGCGACGAUCUGUAACUGGUCUGAGAGGAUGAUCAGUCACACCGGGACUGAGACACGGUCCGGACUCCUACGGGAGGCAGCAGUGGGGAAUAUUGGACAAUGGGGGCAACCCUGAUCCAGCCAUGCCGCGUGUGUGAAGAAGGCCUUUUGGUUGUAAAGCACUUUAAGCAGGGAGGAGAGGCUAAUGGUUAAUACCCAUUAGAUUAGACGUUACCUGCAGAAUAAGCACCGGCUAACUCUGUGCCAGCAGCCGCGGUAAUACAGAGGGUGCGAGCGUUAAUCGGAAUUACUGGGCGUAAAGCGAGUGUAGGUGGCUCAUUAAGUCACAUGUGAAAUCCCCGGGCUUAACCUGGGAACUGCAUGUGAUACUGGUGGUGCUAGAAUAUGUGAGAGGGAAGUAGAAUUCCAGGUGUAGCGGUGAAGUGCGUAGAGAUCUGGAGGAAUACCGAUGGCGAAGGCAGCUUCCUGGCAUAAUAUUGACACUGAGAUUCGAAAGCGUGGGUAGCAAACAGGAUUAGAUACCCUGGUAGUCCACGCCGUAAACGAUGUCUACUAGCCGUUGGGGUCCUUGAGACUUUAGUGGCGCAGUUAACGCGAUAAGUAGACCGCCUGGGGAGUACGGCCGCAGGGUUAAAACUCAAAUGAAUUGACGGGGGCCCGCACAAGCGGUGGAGCAUGUGGUUUAAUUCGAUGCAACGCGAAGAACCUUACCUGGUCUUGACAUAGUGAGAAUCUUUCAGAGAUGAGAGAGUGCCUUUGGGAACUCACAUACAGGUGCUGCAUGGCUGUCGUCAGCUCGUGUCGUGAGAUGUUGGGUUAAGUCCCGCAACGAGCGCAACCCUUUUCCUUAUUUGCCAGCGGGUUAAGCCGGGAACUUUAAGGAUACUGCCAGUGACAAACUGGAGGAAGGCGGGGACGACGUCAAGUCAUCAUGGCCCUUACGACCAGGGCUACACACGUGCUACAAUGGUAGGUACAGAGGGUUGCUACACAGCGAUGUGAUGCUAAUCUCAAAAAGCCUAUCGUAGUCCGGAUUGGAGUCUGCAACUCGACUCCAUGAAGUCGGAAUCGCUAGUAAUCGCGGAUCAGAAUGCCGCGGUGAAUACGUUCCCGGGCCU
rnacentral:rRNA from 1 species